rnacentral:lncRNA from 1 species
CACUUUGUAUUUCCCAAAGUAAUGCUUCUACCGCUGACUUGAAGGGGAGUAGGGGAGCUGCACCUGGAGCUCGCUCUGCCCUGUGGAGAUGUAGAGUGACUUGUUAUUGUUUCUUUUUCUCUCAUCUGUCUUAUCUAGCUCCUGCCAGCUGCUCAGUGCUAACACCACGGUGGGCAAGUAACAGGAUCAAUGGCAUGGGAAUCCUACCUAGAUUCUGUGGGUCCCACUUUAUGGUAUGGAGAGGUAUCUUUUCCACAGCAGCCUGCUCUUUCCAUAGGAAGGCUAUACUGAUGCAGACACCUGUCUAACCUAAGGAACCCUCUCCGUUUGUGAGCCUUCCACUUCCUCAGCAGGGAGGCCUGCUUCUCCAAGUCGGCCUGUAACCCUCAACCUUACCAAGUGAGUCAAGGGCCUUUCUACCUGCACACAUAGUCACUUGGAGAAAAUGGAGUGUAUAUAACUCCCCUCAGAUGGUCUAUCUGUAAGGUAAGGCAUUCACAUAAGGAUCUCUCCCCAAGUCCCCACCUAUCUGUCCCCAGUCACCUGUCUUGGUUUUCUGGCAGGGGUCUGUGGAGACGCAAAUUAAGUGGAGGUUUCCUUCUCUAAGGGCUUUGUUUCCCUCUGAUGCCCCAGCUCAUACUGCAGAACAAAGGGAGGAGGUUAGUGAUUUCUCUUUCAGUCUCCUGGUCCCUAAUUUCCACCUCUCCUCCACAGGGUUCCUCUUUGAGACUGCAGGGAAGCCUGGGGUGCAGGUGGGGUCAGGUCCAAAACACUAUA